UACGUAGGAUGCAAGCGUUGUCCGGAAUUAUUGGGCGUAAAGAGCGAGCAGGCGGUUUGGAAAGUUGGACGUGAAAUUUUAGGGCUUAACCCUAAAGGGUCGUCCAAAACUCCCAGACUAGAGUGCAGGAGAGGAAAGCGGAAUUCCCGGUGUAGUGGUGAAAUGCGUAGAUAUCGGGAGGAACACCGAAGGCGAAGGCAGUGUCCUGGCGCGUAACUGACGCUGAGGUGCGAAAGCCAGGGGAGCGAACGGG
rnacentral:rRNA from 1 species